UACGGAGGGUGCAAGCGUUAUCCGGAUUCACUGGGUUUAAAGGGUGCGUAGGCGGAUCUGUAAGUCAGUGGUGAAAUCUCCGGGCUUAACCCGGAAACUGCCGUUGAUACUAUAGAUCUUGAAUGUUGUGGAGGUUAGCGGAAUAUGUCAUGUAGCGGUGAAAUGCAUAGAUAUGACAUAGAACACCAAUUGCGAAGGCAGCUGGCUACACAAAUAUUGACGCUGAGGCACGAAAGCGUGGGGAGCAAACAGG
rnacentral:rRNA from 1 species